GACGAACGCUGGCGGCGUGCUUCAUACAUGCAAGUCGAACGAGAAGCUGACUUCGGUCAGUGGAAAGUGGCGGACGGGUGAGUAAUAUGUAGGAAAUCUGCCUUUAGGAGGGGGACAACAGAGGGAAACUUCUGCUAAUACCCCAUAUGAGCGUAGCUGAAAUGCUAUUCUUGAAAACUCCGGUGCCUAAAGAUGAGCCUGCAUCUGAUUAGCUAGUUGGUAGUGUAAUGGACUACCAAGGCGACGAUCAGUAGCUGGGUUGAGAGGAUGAUCAGCCACAACGGGACUGAGACACGGCCCAGAAUCCUACGGGAGGGAGCAGUAGGGAAGUGUGCGCAAGGGGCGCAAGCCUGACGCAGCAACGCCGCGUGAACGAUUAAGCCCUUCGGGGUGUAAAGUUCUGUCAGUGGGGACGAAACUUGACGGUACCCACGGAGGAAGCACCGGCUAACUCCGUG
rnacentral:rRNA from 1 species